rnacentral:rRNA from 1 species
GAUGAACGCUAGCGGGAGGCCUAAUACAUGCAAGUCGAGCGGUAGAGUGACUUCGGUUGCUUGAGAGCGGCGCACGGGUGAGUAACGCGUACAUGACCUACCUUUAAGACUGGGAUAGCCCUGGGAAACUGGGAUUAAUACCGGAUGUGAUAAUACGUAUAGAGAUGUAUUAUUAAAGUUGAGGCGCUUAGAGAUGGAUGUGCGUCUGAUUAGCUAGUUGGUAGGGUAACGGCCUACCAAGGCUACGAUCAGUAGGGGGCGUGAGAGCGUGGCCCCCCACACGGGUACUGAGACACGGACCAGACUCCUACGGGAGGCAGCAGUGAGGAAUAUUGGUCAAUGGGCGGAAGCCUGAACCAGCCAUCCCGCGUGAAGGAAGACAGCCUUACGGGUUGUAAACUUCUUUUCUGUCAGAAGAAUAAGCUUGUCGAGACGAGUGAUGCCGGUAUGACAGGAAUAAGCAUCGGCUAACUCCGUGCCAGCAGCCGCGGUAA